rnacentral:rRNA from 1 species
GAUAAACGCUGGCGGCGCACAUAAGACAUGCAAGUCGAACGAACUUAAGCCUUAGUUUACUAUGGUAGCGGUUAGUGGCGGACUGGUGAGUAACACGUAAGCAACCUGCCUAUCAGAGGGGAACAACAGUUAGAAAUGACUGCUAAUACCGCAUAUGCCUUAAUCUUCGCAUGGAGAAAGAGGGAAAGGAGCAAUCCGCUGAUAGAUGGGCUUGCGUCUAAUUAGCUAGUUGGUGAGGUAACGGCCCACCAAGGCGACGAUUGGUAGCCGGACUGAGAGGUUGAACGGCCACAUUGGGACUGAGACACGGCCCAG